CGGGAAGUAGCCUAGCGGCUAAGGCGUCAGGUUUGGGACCUGAAGAUCGCGGGUUCGAUCCCCGCCUUCCCGA
rnacentral:tRNA from 1 species